GAUGAACGCUGGCGGCGUGCCUAAUACAUGCAAGUCGAGCGAAGCGGGGACGGGUGAGUAACAUGUGGAUAACCUCCUAUAAGACUGGGAUAACUUCGGGAAACCGGAGCUAAACCGGAAACUUAUAGAUGCAUAUGCGCUGCAUUAGCUAGUUGGUAAGUUAACGGCUUACCAAGGCAACGAUGCAUAGCCGACCUGAGAGGGUGAUCGGCCACACGGGAACUGAUACACGGUCCAGACUCCGACGGGAGGCAGCAGUGGGGAAUCUUCCGCAAUGGGCGAAAGCCUGACGGAGCAACGCCGCGUGUAUGAUGAAGGUCUUCGGAUCGUAAAACUCUGUUAUUAGGGAAGCGGUACCUAAUCAGAAAGCCACGGCUAACUACGUGCCAGCAGCCGCGGUAAUUC
rnacentral:rRNA from 1 species